AACUUUCAACAACGGAUCUCUUGGCUCUCGCACCGAUGAAGAACGCAGCGAAAUGCGAUAAGUAAUGUGAAUUGCAGAAUUCAGUGAAUCAUCGAAUCUUUGAACGCACCUUGCGCCCUUUGGUAUUCCGAAGGGCACACCUGUUUGAGUGUCAU
rnacentral:rRNA from 1 species